AGGUGCGAUCGUACCAGCACUACUGCACAGGAUCCCAUCAGAACUCUGCAAUUAAGCGUGCUUGGGCAAGAGUAGUACUUGGAUGGGUGACCUCCUGGGAAGUCCUCGUGUUGCACUCC
rfam:Gossypium arboreum cultivar AKA8401 contig_1046_1, whole genome shotgun sequence.